rnacentral:rRNA from 1 species
GACGAACGCUGGCGGCGUGCUUAACACAUGCAAGUCGAACGGAAAGGCCCUGCUUUUGUGGGGUGCUCGAGUGGCGAACGGGUGAGUAACACGUGAGUAACCUGCCCUUGACUUUGGGAUAACUUCAGGAAACUGGGGCUAAUACCGGAUAGGAGCUCCUGCUGCAUGGUGGGGGUUGGAAAGUUUCGGCGGUUGGGGAUGGACUCGCGGCUUAUCAGCUUGUUGGUGGGGUAGUGGCUUACCAAGGCUUUGACGGGUAGCCGGCCUGAGAGGGUGACCGGCCACAUUGGGACUGAGAUACGGCCCAGACUCCUACGGGAGGCAGCAGUGGGGAAUAUUGCACAAUGGGCGGAAGCCUGAUGCAGCAACGCCGCGUGCGGGAUGACGGCCUUCGGGUUGUAAACCGCUUUCGCCUGUGACGAAGCGUGAGUGACGGUAAUGGGUAAAGAAGCACCGGCUAACUACGUGCCAGCAGCCGCGGUGAUACGUAGGGUGCGAGCGUUGUCCGGAUUUAUUGGGCGUAAAGGGCUCGUAGGUGGUUGAUCGCGUCGGAAGUGUAAUCUUGGGGCUUAACCCUGAGCGUGCUUUCGAUACGGGUUGACUUGAGGAAGGUAGGGGAGAAUGGAAUUCCUGGUGGAGCGGUGGAAUGCGCAGAUAUCAGGGGGAACACCAGUGGCGAAGGCGGUUCUCUGGGCCUUUCCUGACGCUGAGGAGCGUAAGCGUGGGGAGCGAACAGGCUUAGAUACCCUGGUAGUCCACGCUGUAAACGGUGGGUACUAGGUGUGGGGUCCAUUCCACGGGUUCCGUGCCGUAGCUAACGCUUUAAGUACCCCGCCUGGGGAGUACGGCCGCAAGGCUAAAACUCAAAGGAAUUGACGGGGCCCCGCACAAGCGGCGGAGCAUGCGGAUUAAUUCGAUGCAACGCGUAGAACCUUACCUGGGUUUGACAUGGAUCGGGAGUGCUCAGAGAUGGGUGUGCCUCUUUUGGGGUCGGUUCACAGGUGGUGCAUGCCUGUCGUCAGCUCGUGUCGUGAGAUGUUGGGUUAAGUCCCGCAACGAGCGCAACCCUUGUUCACUGUUGCCAGCACGUUAUGGUGGGGACUCAGUGGAGACCGCCGGGGUCAACUCGGAGGAAGGUGGGGAUGACGUCAAGUCCUCAUGCCCCUUAUGUCCAGGGCUUCACGCAUGCUACAAUGGCUGGUACAGAGAGUGGCGAGCCUGUGAGGGUGAGCGAAUCUCGGAAAGCCGGUCUCAGUUCGGAUUGGGGUCUGCAACUCGACCUCAUGAAGUCGGAGUCGCUAGUAAUCGCAGAUCAGCAACGCUGCGGUGAAUACGUUCCCGGG